AUUGAACGCUGGCGGCAUGCCUUACACAUGCAAGUCGAACGGCAGCACGGACUUCGGUCUGGUGGCGAGUGGCGAACGGGUGAGUAAUGUAUCGGAACGUACCUUUCAGUGGGGGAUAACGUAGCGAAAGUUACGCUAAUACCGCAUAUUCUGUGAGCAGGAAAGCAGGGGAUCGCAAGACCUUGCGCUGAUUGAGCGGCCGAUAUCAGAUUAGCUAGUUGGUGGGGUAAAGGCCUACCAAGGCGACGAUCUGUAGCGGGUCUGAGAGGAUGAUCCGCCACACUGGAACUGAGACACGGUCCAGACUCCUACGGGAGGCAGCAGUGGGGAAUUUUGGACAAUGGGGGCAACCCUGAUCCAGCCAUGCCGCGUGAGUGAAGAAGGCCUCGGUUGUAAGACUCUUCGUCCGGAGAAUACGCAUAGCGUAAUACCUCGUGUGGAGUGACGGUACCGGAAGUAAGAAGACACCGGCGUAACUACGUGCCAGCACG
rnacentral:rRNA from 1 species